GACGAACGCUGGCGGCGUGCCUAAUACAUGCAAGUAGAACGCUGAAGGAGGAGCUUGCUUCUCUGGAUGAGUUGCGAACGGGUGAGUAACGCGUAGGUAACCUGCCUGGUAGCGGGGGAUAACUAUUGGAAACGAUAGCUAAUACCGCAUAAGAGUAGAUGUUGCAUGACAUUUGCUUAAAAGGUGCAAUUGCAUCACUACCAGAUGGACCUGCGUUGUAUUAGCUAGUUGGUGGGGUAACGGCUCACCAAGGCGACGAUACAUAGCCGACCUGAGAGGGUGGUCGGCCACACUGGGACUGAGACACGGCCCAGACUCCUACGGGAGGCAGCAGUAGGGAAUCGUAGGCAAUGGACGGAAGACUGACCGAGCAACGCCGCGUGAGUGAAGAAGAAUAUCGGAUCGUAAAGCUCGGUUGUAAGAGAAGAAAGAGUGUGAGAGUGGAAAGUUCACACUGUGACGGUAUCUUAGCAGAAAGGGACGGCUAACUACGUG
rnacentral:rRNA from 1 species